rnacentral:tRNA from 1 species
GGAGACGUGGCAGAGUCUGGUUGAUUGCAGCGCCCUGCUAAGGCGUAGAAGGUGUCAAAGCCUUCCAAGGGUUCAAAUCCCUUCGUCUCCGCCA